ACAUGCUCAGUCGGGUCCCUUCAUGGGUCCUCUGUUCCGGACGAUUAUUUCUACCGCGUUUGGAGAUGGCGAGUGCGGUCAGAGAGAGAGGGAGAGAGGUCCAGCCGGUAAGUGGAUCUCGCGGCUUGGGCUCCGCCCGCGGACCUGGACGCCGGCCUCCUCCCGCGGACCUGCUCGCCGGUGAGUAUGUGCAGCGGCCCGAAUAGGCGCGUCCGCGCGUGCAGUGGAAGGCGCCGGAUCUUGCAGGAACAUGAGGUACUUGGGGCAUGCGAUGAGAAUCACAACUGUUGUGGAUUUACAAAGAUGAUAGUGCGGACGAAGAAUAUCUUGUUAUUUCGCUGUUACCAUCCAUAACUUUAUCUCUCCGCGAUGAAUAUAUUAGAUCAAGCAUCAUAUCAUGUACAUGCUAAGCUUUUGCUCUUCUCGUCAUCGAUGCCUACCGGUUGGAUCAUGCUUCUGUUUAUGAGCUGAUUGAAGUAACUCUCUCCUAGCUCAAAUGGGCCAAUUUCUCGUUUACAUGAUACACACAUCCUUCAGCUAUCCAUCUCCAUAUCAAUUGGUCUCUCUUAACUUUGUAAUCUUUUGAAAUAUGCUUGCAUAUAAUAAUGAUGCAAAGGUAUAUCAUAUCAUACAACAACACAAUCUUUUGUCUUCGGCAAGUUAGGGUAGACUAGAGAUAGCACACAAUAUGUGUCACGUACAUAACAACAUGGAAACUAGCAAAGAAAUAGUAAAAGAAGUCUUGACUUGUAGAUUAUGUCAAAGUGAUGAUCUAGAGUCAAGCUUCUUUUACUAUAUUAGUUCUGAUCUACCUUGUCACCUAUAGGAUUAGUUAUUAUAUCUAAGUAUUUUUUUUAGAAGAUUAGACGACUAAGCAAGGUCACUUAAUAUGUAAAUGGAUAGUUGAAUGUUUUGUUUAUCAUGAAAAACAAGAGAUUAGCCCAUUUGAGCUCGGUGAUAGUGUUACUCAAUGAGAUCAUAAAGAGAAGCAUGAUUGACCAAUAGACAUCAAUGUUGUUGAAGGCAUGGAAAAAUCUUAUCGUAUACAUGACAUGAUGAUUGAUCCCAUAUGUUUUUGCCAAGUGAAGAAAACCACUUGCAUGGCACGCAAGAUUUGAAGAUUAUCCAUCCGAAAGAGCGUGGCAGACAUGGCCACCAUCAACAGCAACAAGGUCCAACAGCCAAGAUCAGGCGAGAGGACGAUGCUCAUCCUUAUUCGGUAACUGAACCUGAAAGCGAGAAGCCCCCAGCUCAAUGCAAAACUCAGACAAUCCUUUUCAGAUACCUCAACUGAUUCGUGCAAUUGCGUCUGUUAUAAAUUAAGGCACUCACUGGCGCACGCGGUCGGAUGUGAAUGUGAUUCUGAUUCCCCUGACGAAAUGUUUACUGUCACCGGGGAGCGGGGAGGCAAUCCAACUAUAUUCUCUUCUUAUGUCUGAAUUCUCAUGCAGACUGUUCACUUAUGUCUGAAUUCUCUUCUUGCUUGCAGCAACUUAAGAACAACCAAGUUUUGCUGAACCAUUAAUUACGAUGCACUGCUGGCUGGUUUGCCCACUUUAAUUCUUUGUUCAACUUCUUUGUUUGUAACAGCGUUCAGAGUCAUGUUUAUUCCAGAGUUAUAAAUUGAAAUGUCCACCUCAAA